rnacentral:rRNA from 1 species
CAGUCGCCGCGGGAAUACAGAGGGUGCGAGCGUUAAUCGGAUUUACUGGGCGUAAAGCGUGCGUAGGCGGCUUCUUAAGUCGGAUGUAAAAUCCCUGAGCUUAACUUAGGAAUUGCAUUCGAUACUGGGAAGCUAGAGUAUGGGAGAGGAUGGUAGAAUUCCAGGUGUAGCGGUGAAAUGCGUAGAGAUCUGGAGGAAUACCGAUGGCGAAGGCAGCCAUCUGGCCUAAUACUGACGCUGAGGUACGAAAGCAUGGGGAGCAAACAGGAUUAGAUACCCCUGUAGUCCCUGUCUCUUAUAC